rnacentral:ribozyme from 13 species
AAGAUAGAAAAGAAGGAGAGGAAGGAGAGGAAGAAGAAAAAGAAGAAAAAGAAGAAGAAAGAGGAAAAGAGGAAGAAGAACCUCGAGUUCGCUCUCUAUCUUGUCCACCAAAAAAUCUUUCCAACCUUUCCGCUCUUGUUGAUGUCCUUCCCACCUUACCCCCUUCGUCUUUAAAAGACGAAGGA